rnacentral:lncRNA from 1 species
CCUUCCUGUUUGCGCAUGGAACCCAGGUCCUCUUUGUGCACCCUUGAUAUCCUCAGCAAAGAGUAAUUUCAUUGGUUCAUCCCCAGAGGUGUCCAGUUUAGUGAGGGGGGCCCGUGUGUUGGCAAGGAGAGAAACUGAUGGCUAUUACUACCUGGGCCACAUUGCCCAAGAGGUGAAGGGCUCCAGGGAACGCUUUGUAAUUGAGUUUGACAAAAGUCGUGCUCGGAAAGGCAAGGUACAGCUCCGCCUGCAGGAAACGCCUCUCUACGACAUUCUCCACUACGAGGAUGCCAGGAGACGGCGUCUGGCUCCGGGAGACAGGGUCUUGGCACCGUGGGAGGCUAGAGCUGAACGUUUUGGCCCCGGCACUGUGCUGAAGGUUGUGGAGAGCAAGGAGGCACAUUUAGCACACAACAGAAGUGGAGUGCUUGUGAAUUUCUGGAAUGGGCAGACCAAGGAGGUGUCUUCUGACCAAGCUCUGCAGAUUCCUCUGCCCUUAAGCGAACGGAUCAUCCUAGAACUGCAGAUGCCUUUAGCAGCCAGGCAGAUGGUGGUAGAUUCAAGCUUACACUACCCAUACAUUGUGACACCGGGUUAUAGAGCCUCAGGCCACUACAGACUGGGUCACUCAGACCUGGACUGCUGGCCAGGGGGUCUGUACUCAGCUCAUCUAUGUGCUAAGUGCAGCUGGGAGUGUACCUCGCUCCCCCGGUGCUGCCUGGCAGCCUGGGAACCCACGCGGCCUGUAGGGUGCAAAGUGCAGCAGGAAAAUGCCUUCAUCCCAGGAACAGGCUUGGCUGAAGAAGUACUCAGCAAGAAAAUAGAAGAGGAACUGUCUGAACUGAGAAUUACAUCUUCAGAAAGUGUUUCCAGAGAGGAAGAGAAAAAGGAAGAGACGAGAUUAGAGACAGAAAAUGUUCCAAAAGACGUUUGGUCUUGUUUGGAAGAGGACAAUGAGUUUAUAGAACCUAAGAAGGGUGCUCAGAGGGAGAUGGCUCGUGCUAUGGUUGAUACCGCCGUUAACACAGACAGCUGGUUAAUGGAGACAGAUCACAAGGAGGAACCAGAGAGCAGGCAGCAGGAUGCUGAAACUGAAGCUCAUUUUAAACACGAGCAUGGUAGUGGAACUGUAGCUCUUUUACCCAAAUGUAACACUUGCCACACAAUAUCACUGCAGCAGGUCAUGGUGUCUAAGAUCUGUUGCCAUAAAUCUUGAUGCUUCAAAAGGAAAUGCCAUAAUACCAUGCUGUGACUAUGGCCAUCAUUAUGUAGUAUAUUUAUAUGUAGGUAUUAAUAGUGCUUUAGCUUGAGAAGUUGUUCAUCGUCUCAAGGUGAAAGAAUUUUCAGAUGGAAAUCAGGUUUUUUUGGCUUUUACAGCUACUGCACUAGCAGCUUUUGGGUUUUCUUAAACUUUAUCAUAACACCCA